rnacentral:rRNA from 1 species
AAUGAACGCUGGCGGCGCGCCUAAUACAUGCAAGUCGAGCGAGAAGACGUAGCAAUACGUUUGUAAAGCGGCGAACGGGUGAGGAAUACAUGGGUAACCUACCCUUGAGUGGGGAAUAACUAGCCGAAAGGUUAGCUAAUACCGCGUACGCUCCUUGGACUUCGGUUCAGGGAGGAAAGCGCUACCGUGGGUAGCGCGCUCUUGGAUGGGCUCAUGUCCUAUCAGCUUGUUGGUGAGGUAACGGCUCACCAAGGCUUCGACGGGUAGCUGGUCUGAGAGGACGAUCAGCCACACUGGCACUGCGACACGGGCCAGACUCCUACGGGAGGCAGCAGUAAGGAAUAUUGCGCAAUGGGCGAAAGCCUGACGCAGCGACGCCGCGUGGGGGAUGAAGGUCUUCGGAUUGUAAACCCCUUUCGGGAGGGAAGAUGGAAUGGGGUAACCCAUUUGGACGGUACCUCCAGAAGCAGCCACGGCUAACUUCGUGCCAGCAGCCGCGGUAAUACGAAGGUGGCAAGCGUUAUUCGGAUUUACUGGGCGUACAGGGAGCGUAGGCGGUUCGGUAAGCCCUUUGUGAAAUCUUCAGGCUUAACCUGGAAAAGUCGGAGGGGACUGCCGGGCUAGAGGACGGGAGAGGAGCGCGGAAUUCCCGGUGUAGCGGUGAAAUGCGUAGAGAUCGGGAGGAAGGCCGGUGGCGAAGGCGGCGCUCUGGAACGUUUCUGACGCUGAGGCUCGAAAGCGUGGGGAGCAAACAGGAUUAGAUACCCUGGUAG